rnacentral:rRNA from 1 species
GAUGAACGCUGGCGGCGUGCCUAAUACAUGCAAGUCGAGCGAACAGACGAGGAGCUUGCUCCUCUGACGUUAGCGGCGGACGGGUGAGUAACACGUGGAUAACCUACCUAUAAGACUGGGAUAACUUCGGGAAACCGGAGCUAAUACCGGAUAAUAUAUUGAACCGCAUGGUUCAAUAGUGAAAGACGGUUUUGCUGUCACUUAUAGAUGGAUCCGCGCCGCAUUAGCGAGUUGGUAAGGUAACGGCUUACCAAGGCAACGAUGCGUAGCCGACCUGAGAGGGUGAUCGGCCACACUGGGACUGAGACACGGUCCAGACUCCUACGGGAGGCAGCAGUAGGGAAUCUUCCGCAAUGGGCGAAAGCUUGACGGAGCAGCGCCGCGUGAGUGAUGAAGGUCUUCGGAUCGUAAAACUCUGUUAUUAGGGAAGAACAAAUGUGUAAGUAACUAUGCACGUCUUGACGGUACCUAAUCAGAAAGCCACGGCUAACUACGUG